CAUUUUAUAAAUAUACCUGAGCUCCUUGCCUUCUGGGAGGUGGAUUUGAGACUUGUUCACCCAUCUCCUCACUUGGCUGCCUGGCGAAUAAACCCUCUCUUUGCUGCAAACCUUGGGGUCUCAGCAUUCUGGCUUGCUGCACAUCAGGCAAAACGAACCUGGUUCGGGCUUAGUGUUUCCCAAACGAUGCUGAAGACUGGUUGGUUCUACAUAGUCUCACGUGUUGUCUCCAGGGAGAUAAGAAGAGGAACAACGAGUGAGAAAGUUGGAAGUCCAGCUGAUGUUCUCAAGGAAGGCAAAGAGCUGCUGUCACUCACAGUCAAGGAGUUCAUCCUCGUCACGCACUUCAGUAUAAUGUGUUGGCUGGUGAGGAAUAUUUUUGUUUACAAAUGAAGGCUAACACAGAAGAGGGACUGUAAUGAUGGGGUCUUAUACUGUCCAGACCUUUUAAAUUCACUUUU